ACGGGUGAGUAACACGUAUGCAAUCCACCUGUAACAGGGGAGUAACCCGGAGAAAUCCGGACUAAUACCCAUAAUAUGGGCGCUCCGCAUGGAGAGUCCAUUAAAGAGAGCAAUCUUGGUUACAGACGAGCAUGCGCUCCAUUAGCCAGUUGGCGGGGUAACGGCCCACCAAGGCGACGAUGGAUAGGGGUUCUGAGAGGAAGGUCCCCCACAUUGGAACUGAGACACGGUCCAA
rnacentral:rRNA from 1 species